rnacentral:lncRNA from 1 species
CGUCUGUAAUCUCUGAAACAGAGGUAUGCCGUGUAGAUGACAUAUUUUUUGUAUUACAUGAGCAGGAAAGCGACCAAGGGUGGCAGAAAAGUAAUUGCUCGAAGAAUAGCCAAGGGCCGGUUUAGGAUUACAGCUUAGUAUCAUUGCAUUGACAUUGGAGUUAAAGUUUGAAUUUAGAAACUCAGUGCACUUCAUGGUAAGGCCCAGUGAUAGAGGAUGAACCUGACAUUGCUACCUAAAAGAGCUCCUCUUUUUGGUUGGGUGUGGGGUUGGAGUUUUAUUAAGUAUAGUAUGCUAUGAACAACUUUUCAGGCAACUUUUGUGUUAACAUUCUGUUUAUUUCUAUUUGAAAUUCUGGUCAGUAGUUGCAAUAAUUUGUAACUCUAGUAUUAGUUUUAUGUGUUGAGCACUGCAGAAUAAUCUAGCUUUAUUUGGUGCAAAGAAAACGAGUGUUUUUAAGUUUACUAGUUUGAGUUUGACAAACAUAAACUCGUUCGAGUUUGAGUGAGUUUGACAACCAUGACUGUCUCAUGUGUUUGUUUUCUGCUUCCAAAUUCCAUUUUGCACAAAUUUGAAGACUGUUUGUAGAAGGAUUUUUUUUUUUUUUGUUCAAAUGGCCAUUAAAGAAGAUUAAAGGAAGUAAUGGUUUUUGUUUUAUUUCAAGGGUGAGUUUGGAUCAAGUAAAAUUUUAAAGAAAAAAAGUAAAGAAAAAGAAAAAGGGAAGAAAAGUAAUAGUAAGAGUUGACUUUUGAAUAAGUGAAUGAAAAAAAAGUGUAACUAUUUCUGUCUUGAUUUAUUGUAUACAUAGUUAAAGAAAAGAAGAAUGUGUAUAUAAUGACGUAAAUAUCUCUCUAAUCAAUAUGGUUUAGUCCUCAUUUAUGUAAAGCGUUUCUGAGAAUGCAGCACUUAUUUUAGUUUAAUUUGGUUUGAGUAAAAUAUAUUUCUUUACCUGGUUUGAUAACUUUUUUUAAUAAUUUUAGGAAUAAAAGGUAGCAAAAAAUGAAAUAAUUUUUUUAUAAAUUAAAUGGUCUAGUGUAUAAUCUUAUUUUGUUUAUGAAAAUUUUAAUUCAAUUUUUUUAUUUAUUUCAGGUGUGAGGUUCAAAAUUAAAAUAAAAACACUUUUUUACAUUUUUUUUCUUAAUUUUUUGUCUUUAAACUCCAAAUCGAAUGGUGAGUAUUUAUUAAAGACACUUUAAUAUUUAAAUUAAUUAUACGUCCGAUUAAUUAUUAUAGUAAAAUCUUAAAUUUAUAAUAAUUACAAAAAUUUAGAGAUUAAAAAUAUCAUCUCAUCUAAUAUAUAAUAUCUUCUAAUAGAAGUGUUGAUCAUCUGAUCAAAGAGAAACUGAUCAGUCAUAGUGUGCACUUUGUUUUAUGAAAAACUUACGUAAACGUUUGCAUGAGAGUAAGUUUGAUCUGUAUGAAAAGUACGUUUGGGUUUUAUGGAGAAAUGAAAUAAUAUAUGAAAGGUGAAUUAGGAAAUUGAUAUACUGAAAAUGUUAGAAAUGUGUGGUGUGUAGUGUUUGAAUUGACGUGAAUGUGAAGAAAAGUUGGUGAAAUGAAAGGUUAAGUUUGUGCAUUGGGUGUGUGAGUAAGAGGACUUUGUUUUCAUUGCAUACAUGAAUGAAUGAUUGAAAGCUAAUUAUCAACUCACACAAAUUGCUAAUUAUUGGAAGGGCCGAUGCUUUUCCCUUCUCAGAUCAUUUUCUUUCCAUAAGCUCAUUUUAUUGGAGUAUGUGUUACUUCAAAUUCGUACAAGAUCAAUAAUAUAUAAAAGAGAAUAAUUACUUUUGAACCAAUCAUUCCUAAAAAAAAUAUCAAAGUAAAUUAAUCUAAUUUAUAGAGUUAUCAUUAGUUUAGUUAAAAUAGUCAAUUUAACAUGAUUCACUUUUUAAUAAGUUACAAAUUUUGUAAUUCAACUCGAUCUGCUAAUAUACGAUGGAUUGAGUUUGAUUGAUGGAUUGAGUCAUUUAUAAAUGUUUUGUUUUUAUAAUUUAUUUUAUAAUUUAUUUUAUAUAUAUAUAUAUAUAUAUAUAUAUAUAUAUAUAUAUAUAUAUAUAUAUAUAUUACAAUAUAAUGAAGGUGAAUUAACUCGAUCUAUUCUUUUUAUAAUAGUAGAAUAAAAUAUUUAUUUAAUUAUAGAAAUAUUAUUAGAAAAAUAAUAGUUGAGAAUUAAAAUAUUAAUGUAUAUAAUUUGAAAAACCAAUAAAUUAAACAUUAGAAGUAUUCAAACAUUAUAAAAAUAUAUUUAGUAUUUAAAAAACUCAAAUUAUGAACAUAAAUACUUAAAAUUAUUAGAUAAUUAUAGCAGAAAACUUAUAAAAAAUGAUAAAAAUAUUAAUGAUUCGAACUACUUUAAUUUGAGUUAAAUGAAUGGAGUUCAAUUUAAUCUAUAUUAAUCCAAUUUAAUUGGAGUCUAUGAUGAAUAUGUUAGCUUAUGGAUUAGAAUCCAUUUUAUCAUCUUUGCUAAAAGAAACUUAAUAAGUGAAUAUACUUAAGUUAUUGGCUUCAUUAUAAAGAAAAACUAUAAAUGAUAUCAAGUAAUUGUUUUUAAGUUCUUGAAUUGAAGGUGUGGUUUUCUUUUUUAUUAAAAUAUUUAUUUUGUUUUAUACUUUGCCUUCAAAUUUAUAUAUAAUAUUCGAAUGGUCACAUUUAAAAUAUUAUUUAUUUUUGUAUUAAAUUAUUUUAUUACAAUUCUAUUCCACAAUCGAGCCAAAUAUUUAAAAUUUAGCCUUUCUAUUUAUUGUAAGAUUACAUUGGUAUAUAAUAGUUCUCACCUAAAAUUAAAGAGUUGAAUGAUGAACUAACUAAGUGAAUAGAAUAGUCUCUUUUAGAAAGUAAGAAAAAGAAAAGUAGCAUAAGAACUGUAUAUAUAGAUUGCUGUAAUUUUAACAGAACUUUGUUAAAGUAUAUAAAUGUAAUCCCGCAAGCAGACAAAACACUAUAUAUUAUCAUAACCAUCUUUAACCCAACCAACUCUAAUGCCUUAAAUUGCUCUUUAAUUUUCCAUACAUUUUUAAUAACUAAUCAUCACAUUCUCAUAACUAGCUAACGAAAUACUACAUAACAAACAAAUCACAUGCAAAUUAAAUAUAUAUAUAUAUAUAUAUAUAUAUAUAUAAUUUAACUUUAAUAAUUUAUAUCUAUCGACUUUAGUUGCAAAUAUCACUAUCUCUCAUCGAAUAAAACACUCUUAUCUUCCCAUGUUAAAAAGUCACUAAUGUAAUCAGGAGAAACGACAACGAUUAUUUUUAUUUAUAGACAACAAUUUUUGAAUCGAGACAUAUAAAGAUAAGACAAAAAAUCUAAAUAUUUUUAUGUUUCGGUUGUGAACCGAGACAAAAAGGUGUAAGAUUUUGCCUCGCUUCAAAGUGAACCGAUGUAAUAGAUUUAGAUAUCAGUUUUGUCUAAACUGAGAUUUAUUAUGCGAAUUUAAAACCAAAUUUUGCAUUAAUGAAUAUACGUUAAGUUUAAUUUAACUUUAUAAAAUCAACUUAUAAAAUAAGAUUAUGUUUAUAUUUUAAAUUAUUCUUAUUUCUAAAUGAUAUCAACUUCCAAUGUCAUUUGGGUCACGAAAAUGAUAUUUUAACACCAAUUUUUGACACCAUUCUAACACUACACACAUGUCAAAAUGUGGUUGGACGAUUUCAAAUUAACAAAAGUUGAGACAAGGGCAUAUUUGAAAGAGAAAAAUCACAAUUUUUUUUUUAAUUUGAAAUCAUCCAACCAUAUUUUAACAUGUAUACAGUAUAAAAAUGGUUUCAAAAAAUUAGUGUUAAAAUGUCAUAUUUUCCCAUUGUAUUAUUGAAUUUGUCUACCAUGAGCUGAAGGAGCUUUUCGCGUUAUUCAAUAUUUGUCAAAGUUAAAGUUGAACCUUGUUGGAAGGAACUUGUACGUUUUCCAGCGGAAAAAGCAAGUUUACGUCACCAUUUUUAUAGUUUAGGAUUUGGAUUCUUGCACUUGGAGUUUUGUUACAUAAUACGUAUUUGAUUUGGCUUCGAGUCACAUCCAUUUUUCGGAUAUAAUUAAAAAUAAAUAAAUUACUCAAAAAUUGUUUUAAUUUAGAUAUAAAGUCAAACAAACACGAACUUACUUUAUCCAUUGAAUCCAUUUAUGAUCAGAAAAUUCACUAUAGAACAAAUCCUUUUUCCCCAAACAUACAACAAAAUGGACCAUACCAUAGCAUUCCCUAAUAUGUUAAAUAUGAAAAUAUAUAUACCCAUGAAAAUGCCAAAAUAAAGUUUCUUGGUAUUCAAGAUAUUACCAAUCAACGUUGAAGAAUCUUAAUUAAUUAACAAAAAAAAAGUAAACUAUGUUUAUAGUCACUAAAAUUAAAACGUAAAAUCGAAAUUCAUCUUUAUUUCUAAAACUUUGAUAUAAUGUAGUAUGUAAACUUUAAAAAAAUAAUAAAAAUUAUAUAUAAUUUUCGUAAUUUAAUUACAUUAAAUGUCAAGCAACGUUUUAAGUUAAUUUCUAAGUUAUUUAUAUCAUUUAACAAUCCGAAACAUUGAUUGACAUGUAAAAAAUAUAACACAGUUUGAUUAAAAUAGUUAUAUUUAUUUAUUUUUAAAAUUUAAUAGUAAAAAAUAUCAAAACUUAAAAAAAAAAACUUUAAUUUGACCUCGAAAUACAAGAACUAUAAACAUAUGCAACAAAAGAACAAAAGAACAAGUAUAUCAUAACACUUAUUUGACACGUCUAAUAAGAAUCAAAUGGUCUUAAAAAAAAGUGAAUUUUUAUAGUUUUUUGAAAAAGAAAAAAAAAAUAGUAGUAUCAAAUAAAUAUAAAAAAAUUACAUGUCUCCGGUAUGAUAUUAUUUUUUUAGUGCUGGUAUAAUGAUACAACUUGUCAAUCACAUUCAAAUAACACUAUUUUUUUAAUUUUCCCAUCCAAAAUUAUCCUUUUUCUUUUAAAAAACAUUUAAAAAGAUGAGAGCUACCGUGUCAUUUCUAUGUCAAAAAUAAAUUAGCAUGUCCAAGUAUAUUUUUGUGUUUUUUUUGGAAAAUGAUAUUUUAACACUAUUUUUUGACAUCAUUUUGACACUGCGCACGUGUCAAAAUGUGGUUAGACGAUUUCAAAUUAAAAAAAACUGAAGCAAGAACAUAUUUAAAAAAAAAAGUUUUUUUUUUAAUUUGAAAUCGUCAAACUACAUUUUGACACGUGUACAGUGUCAAAAUGACAUAAAAAAAUUGGUGUUAAAAUAUUAUUUUCCAUAUUUUUCUUGAGAAAAAGCUUGUUUUUGGUGCAUUAAGAAAUUUUAAACGUUAAGUUAUGAUGAGUCCCAUAAAGUAAAAUGUAGUAUAGGAGUGACAGUAUAUGCUGGAAUCCUACAUAGGACACUUUGUCCUAGAUGGAGUUGACCAUGAUGUGUACGUGUUUUGUCAUUGUUCUACAACGGCAUCCAUUAAUUAAUGUUAUGUUGUUACACAGAGAAAGAGAUAGAGUGAGAAGAAGCAAUGGAAGAAUUAAUGAGUUAAAAAGUACAGAACUAGCUCUUCAUUUUCAUUUUUUAAUAAAGCAUUAUAUGUAGCUCUAGCUGCCUUCAACACUUCAUAUAUGGAAGUAUUGUGACAAAUAUGUGAAAGAACCUACACACAUUUAUGGAACUUCUGCAAGCAUUCAUCAAUGGAAGUGCCCUUGAACUAGCAAGGUUCAGGUUUACCAAUAAGAGAAAAACUUCAACAAAUAAUUAAUGCAUCAGUUCAUUGAUCAUCAAAGAGAUUCCCUAAUUAUUUAAUUAAAUGUACUAUAUAUAGAUAAAAUUAAAUUUAUAUCUAUAAAUAGUACCAACGUUCAAGGCUCCCAUCCUGAGGGAAUAAUAGGGUUUGGGAGCUUUUGGGUGCUUGAAACUGAUAAUGAAGUUGUUGAAGAUGGCAACAAUGACAUGAAGGCAUCGAUGUACUCUAAUUGGUUCACUGCCACAGCUAGAUCUUGUGGAUAACACUGAAAUUUUGCUGUAGUCUCGUGUUGUUCUUGGGGAGUGGAUGAGAAUGGUAUGCUGCUGCAAACAUAAUUAUCCUCAAUGUUCUCACUGAGUAUUGGCACAAGGGGUUCUUCUACCAAGUGAUAUUCAUGUUGCUGCAAUGCUAUUGGGUUGAUGAAUUUGUCAAGAAGAUAGUCUGAGGUGGUGUAACUUUUGGUGAUUUGAUUUUGUUCAUUUGGAUUGGAAGAUGGUAGUGGUGUUGUUUCUGGUAAUGGUGGAUUCUGAAUAUGAAGGAAAUUGGCAUUGUAAUAAGUGUUGAAACCUAACUUGACAUCAUUGUUAUGAUCAAAAGCUUGUAGGAAUGGGGAUGGUGUGUCUGAGAAAUGGUGGAAGUUUAAGAUGAGAUUAGGGUUUGNAGUAAAAGGGAAGAAAGUUUCCAUGGUGAUGGGGCUGUGAUGAAAAUCAGAAAAUGUGGCUAAAGGAGGAAUAGCAUCGUGAGAAAGGAGUUUCUUCUUUAUGCUUGAAUUCCAAAAGUUUUUCACCUCAUUAUCUGUUCUUCCAGGUAGGUGUUUGGCUAUCUGAGCCCACCUGUACCCGAAAAAAGUAGAUAAAUAAAGCACCCUUUUGACAAUAAUGUUGAUGAUAAGCACAUGAAUAGAACAAAAAAGAAAAGUAAAAAGAAAGAAAAAAGGACCAUGUGAUUAGCAAUGGUUAUAUACCUGUUCCCUAAAAUGNUGUGGAGUUCAAUAAUGAGAGCUGCUUCUUGAGGAGAGAAGCUUCCACGUUUCAAAUCAGGUCUCAGAUAAUUUAUCCAUCUUAAUCUGCAACUCUUUCCACAUCUUUGCAGGCCUAACACAUCAUCAAACAAACUCAAAAUUUCAAGACAUAACAAAAGUGGUAGACUUGUUAAUUAUAUCAUAUACAUAUAUAUAUAGAGAGAGAGAGAGAGACCUGCAAGUUUUGGGACAGAACUCCAGCAGCCAUGUCCGUAAGCUGUGAUGUAGUUGAUGAGUUUCUCAUCCUCUUCAGGUGACCAAAGCCCUCUUUUGACCUUCUGCUUGUUGCAGCAAGAGUGGUGUCCCAUUUUUGUCUCCCUAUCUAAUACAGUAGCAGAUUUUUGUGUUGUGUUUGAAAAGAAAGGAUGAUGAGAUUGAGGAGAAAGGAAGCUCUCUAGAGUCUAGCUAGCUUUUAGGCAAAACUUACAAAGUGAUUGCACUGAUCAGUUAAUUAUGGUGUGCAUGUGAGCAUAUUUAGCAGAGAAAAAUAACAAUAUGAUGCAGAAGCACAGAAGAAGCAGAAGCAGAAGCAGAAGUGGCUGUAUUCUGAGAUGGUGAUUUUAGUGAAGAAGGUGUAAGAUGGUUGCAGAAUAGCUAAAAGCUGCUAUGUCACCCUGCACAAGUUGUAGCUCUUAUAAAGGAUGCUUCAUUGCUCACUGUGUUAAUAGUGUUAAUGGGGUGUACACGUGUAACACAUGCAGGUGGUAGGACCCUAUGUAGUUCCGGGUCCCACAUCGAUACAUAAUACAUAAACAUAUAUACUCACCAUGUUUUCUUAACAAAGCAACUCUUACUUUCUUUUAUCGUCAAAAUUAUUCAUUAAUAUACUUCUGAUAAAUACUUGCCACCAACAGAAAAGAUGUAGAGAAAAAUAAUGAAAAAACUUAUUUUAACAAUACUUUUUUAAUAACUUUUUGAUAACGUAUAUGUAAGCUUGUGAUUGGUCCGUUUUAAAUAUUUUUUAAACAUAAAUUCAAAUAGACCAAUAAAAUGAUGACACGUGUUCCGUUGUAAAAAAAAUUGUUAAAAAGUGUUGUCAAAAUAUCAUAGUUCAAAAAUAAUAUAACAUCGUAUUGAAAGCUUUCAAAUCUCUUUAAUAUAUAUUGUUUUUUUUUUUUUGAUAAUUUAUGUGAUAAAUGUGAGAAACCUUUUUAGAGGAAUGAUGAUAGAUAAGAUAUUUUUAUAUUCAUUUUAUAUAUAAUACAAAAAUAAAAUAGUUAUAAAAAAAUGAUUUUGAAUUACGAAUGAUAUCUAUAAUUUUUUAUACAAAUUUGACAUUUUUAUUAAAUCUUUCAAGAAAAUCAUCCCAUCAAAAUUUUAUAAGAAUUUCUAUGCUUCUACUUAACUUCACCUUUUAUGGUUUUUUUAACUAUUAAUUAUAUUACUUAACAUUGUGGAUAUAUGGUAAAACUUGAUGUAUUUUAUUGAUUACAUACCCGGUCAAUUUUUAUUUUAUUUUUGCUUUUAAUAUAUAGAAAAUUAGUAAUAUGAUACCUUUACGAAGAAAACAUCUUAACAAUUUCUUUUUAAUGAUAUAAUAAUACAUAUUAACAUUUUAAAUCAAAAAUUAAGAAAAAAUUAAUUAAUUAUCACAUAGUUGUGCAUUAAUGGGUUGUGAAGAAAUUAAUUUCGAAAUAGCUAGCUAGACAAAAGUUGAUAAAGAACGAGAUUGUAUUAUUGGAAGGGGUCAUGAACAUCUCCGACAACUGUAUACUUUCUAUCAAAUUAAAGAUUGUUAACUUUUUCUUUCCAUAAUCAAAAUAAUUAUUAUUAUUAAUUAGGAUUAAGUAAAAAAAAGGAUAAAAUAUAUUUUAAUCCUUCAAUUUUCAAUAAAAAUUAGAAUUAGUCACUUUUUAAAAUUUUAAUCCAAUUUAGUUUCUCAAUUUAAAAUGCAUUUAAUUUUUUUUUGUAAAAUUUUAUCAACAAUUCAAAUGUAUUUCUCAAUUAACAUUAAUAUAAAAAUGUAUCAAAUGAUGUAAACAACUCAAAUGUAUCAUAAAACAUAUUUAAAACAUCAAAUAAACUUAAUAAAAUUUAGUUAAAAGGAAUAUAUCUAUAUAUUUCUAAAGUUAGCAAAUUAAAUCAGAUUAAAUUUUUAAAAAAAGAUUAAUUCCAAUUUUAAUUAAAAAUUAAAAAACAAAAACAUAUUUAACUCAAAAAAAUAUAAUUUAAAACACAAAUUCAAGAAAUUAAAAAACUUCAUCAUAAACUUAAACACCACACAUUGUUUAUUCUUUGUCUCCAAUUAUUAGAUUGGAAAUAUGAAUAAAUUUUGGCUGGAAAGGAAAAGAGAAAAUGUUUUGAGAUUUAGAAGGAAAUGAUUAGAUAUGGAUGUGUUUGUUGAAAUUGCUCUCUUUGAAUUGAUGGUAUGAUAAAGAGAAAUAGCUUUAAGGGAGAAAUAUUUAUAUAGAUGUAUGAUAGAUUUGCUGACUACAAGAAAGGAAUAAUAUGUCUCUUUUGGUUGAAAACAUAAAUAAAUAAAAAAAAAUCACGUGAAAAUCAUUGGUGAUUAAAGGUAGAGUUAAGUGGAAGCAUAUAGAGUGGUCAAGGCCUAACACAAAUUUCCUAAUUAUUUUAUCUUUAUUACUGCAAAAGUGUACUUUUUUUGGU